UGGGGAAUUUUGGACAAUGGGCGAAAGCCUGAUCCAGCAAUGCCGCGUGUGUGAAGAAGGCCUUCGGGUUGUAAAGCACUUUUGUCCGGAAAGAAAUCCUUGGCUCUAAUACAGUCGGGGGAUGACGGUACCGGAAGAAUAAGCACCGGCUAACUACGUGCCAGCAGCCGCGGUAAUACGUAGGGUGCAAGCGUUAAUCGGAAUUACUGGGCGUAAAGCGUGCGCAGGGCGGUUUUGCUAAGACCGAUGUGAAAUCCCCGGGCUCAACCUGGGAACUGCAUUGGUGACUGGCAGGCUAGAGUAUGGCAGAGGGGGGUAGAAUUCCACGUGUAGCAGUGAAAUGCGUAGAGAUGUGGAGGAAUACCGAUGGCGAAGGCAGCCCCCUGGGCC
rnacentral:rRNA from 1 species